GUGAGGAAUUUUCCGCAAUGGGCGAAAGCCUGACGGAGCAAUGUCGCGUGAAGGAUGAAGGCCUAUGGGUUGUAAACUUCUUUUCUCAGAAAAGAAUUAUGACGGUAUCUGAGGAAUAAGCAUCGGCUAACUCUGUGCCAGCAGCCGCGGUAAGACAGAGGAUGCAAGCGUUAUCCGGAAUGAUUGGGCGUAAAGCGUCUGUAGGUUGUUUAAAAAGUAUUCUGUCAAAGAUUAGGGCUUAACCCUAGAUAGGCAGAAUAAACUUUUAAGCUAGAGUUUGGUAGAGGCAGAGGGAAUUCCUGGUGGAGCGGUGAAAUGCGUAGAUAUCGGGAGGAACACCAAAGGCGAAGGCACUCUGCUGGGCCAAUACUAACACUGAGAGACGAAAGCGAGGGGAGCAAAUGGGAUUAGAUACCCCUGUAGUCC
rnacentral:rRNA from 1 species